GUGGGAAGGAGAGGAGGUGAGCACAGGGUGGAGGGUUAGGCCUGGCCUGGGGGGCUGUCGGCCUAAGACAGAGGAAGGAGGCCGAGUGGUGCAGGCGGAGAGAGGUAAAAGGGAUGAAUGCUUGAUCUGUAAAGUUCCAUGUCGUACAGUUCUGCUUUCGAAACGUACGGAUUCCGACAUCCAGGCGCUCUUCAUGGGCAUAGACGGCCUGUGCAGGAAGUACGCAAGGGAGACCUCCCAGGCCGUGGUCAGCCAGCUUGCAGAGACCAUCCCCUCCCCUGGGAGGCUGCUCUCUGGCUCCGACGUGGCCAGAAGCACCGGUGGGGCCAUGGCUGUCCCCCAUCAUCCCGGGACUGCUCCAGGGGGACGCAGGGGUGCCCCAAGGCUCAGCAUCAGCGCGAGGUUUUAGAAUUUCAAGAAAAGCACAGGAGGAGACUGUUAGCCUUCUACGGAGAAAAGAUUUCUCAGCUGGAAGAGUCCCUCAGGAAGUCAGCGCUGAGGAUGGGGCAGCCGCAGAGUGUGAGAUUGUCACAACAAACGGCUUUCAGCACAAUAAAAACUCCAGUUUCAACUCCUUCGACAAAGCCCAACGGGCCGCUCUUCCUGCCGCCUGACUCAUCAGCCUCUGCAAGGGUGGAGUCCAUGGAGGUUGACCUCACACCCUCCCCGAGAAGAAAGCGUGAGGUCGCCACCGGCCUGACAAGGAUCUCCCUGCUCAGUCCACCUCGGGAUGGACGCAUGGGCAGCGUUGCCCACCGCCCUCAGCACCCCGGCCUGACACCGCGUCACGCCAGCGAGCCCCAGGCACUCAGCAGGUGCUCUGUCACGAGAAACCGCGGAAGAGCCAUUACGGCUGCAGGACGUUUUACUCCAGGACAGCCCGGGGUCGGCAGGGUUUCCUGAAGGGCAGGUGGCCGCUGUGGCCAGUGCUGCCCCUCUGCCUGGCCAGGUCCCAGCGCCACCAUUUGCACAGGAGCAGCCGUGCCCUUCCUGGACGCAGGGCCGCCUCCACGCGGGGCGCUCUCCUCAGCGCUGGGCACUCAGGUGCUGUCUCCAAAGGUGGACCCUCCCCUGACCCCUGACCCCUCUCCCAAAGCCUGUCCACGCUUUGCGGCUCGGCACAGUCCAGCCACUGGCCUCCAGACUGCAUGCCCGCCGCCCCUCGACUCACAGGGCCACCCACCUACCUCCCUGACCGCAGGCUGCGCCCGUGGCCUCUGUGGGCUGCUGCACCCCACUCCACGGCAGGAGCCGCCCCAGCUCCGCGCCCUCUGACUGUAACUUGCCUCUUUCAGCAUCAGCACAGAGGGGCCCUGUGGGAGGGUCCAGCGACACAGGUCCUGGCCCUGGUAACAGGCAGCAGUUCUCGGGGGCCCUGCCACGGUCCCCACGGCCCAGAGAAGCCCUCCUGCGGGCCUGCCUGCCGUGGCCCCAGGCUGGCCGCGCCACCUUGAAAAUGACCUCGUGGCCAGAGGCGCUGGUGAUUUUGUCUGUUAAAUUUACCGCUAGGAUCCCAGCCCUGCAGACGCCCUGGGAGUGGCCCAGCCAGAGCCCUGCGCCCCAGGCGGCAGGCAGAGCCGGGACAGGGGCGGCACCCAGGCAGCCCCUCAGCAUCUCGGGGCUGCUGCAGAGGCGGCAUUUAGGGUCUGCCGGCCGC